rnacentral:rRNA from 1 species
UUUAUGGAGAGUUUGAUCCUGGCUCAGGAUGAACGCUGGCGGCGUGCCUAAUACAUGCAAGUCGAGCGAACGGACGAGAAGCUUGCUUCUCUGAUGUUAGCGGCGGACGGGUGAGUAACACGUGGAUAACCUACCUAUAAGACUGGGAUAACUUCGGGAAACCGGAGCUAAUACCGGAUAAUAUUUUGAACCGCAUGGUUCAAAAGUGAAAGACGGUCUUGCUGUCACUUAUAGAUGGAUCCGCGCUGCAUUAGCUAGUUGGUAAGGUAACGGCUUACCAAGGCAACGAUGCAUAGCCGACCUGAGAGGGUGAUCGGCCACACUGGAACUGAGACACGGUCCAGACUCCUACGGGAGGCAGCAGUAGGGAAUCUUCCGCAAUGGGCGAAAGCCUGACGGAGCAACGCCGCGUGAGUGAUGAAGGUCUUCGGAUCGUAAAACUCUGUUAUUAGGGAAGAACAUAUGUGUAAGUAACUGUGCACAUCUUGACGGUACCUAAUCAGAAAGCCACGGCUAACUACGUGCCAGCAGCCGCGGUAAUACGUAGGUGGCAAGCGUUAUCCGGAAUUAUUGGGCGUAAAGCGCGCGUAGGCGGUUUUUUAAGUCUGAUGUGAAAGCCCACGGCUCAACCGUGGAGGGUCAUUGGAAACUGGAAAACUUGAGUGCAGAAGAGGAAAGUGGAAUUCCAUGUGUAGCGGUGAAAUGCGCAGAGAUAUGGAGGAACACCAGUGGCGAAGGCGACUUUCUGGUCUGUAACUGACGCUGAUGUGCGAAAGCGUGGGGAUCAAACAGGAUUAGAUACCCUGGUAGUCCACGCCGUAAACGAUGAGUGCUAAGUGUUAGGGGGUUUCCGCCCCUUAGUGCUGCAGCUAACGCAUUAAGCACUCCGCCUGGGGAGUACGACCGCAAGGUUGAAACUCAAAGGAAUUGACGGGGACCCGCACAAGCGGUGGA